AUUGAACGCUGGCGGCAGGCCUAACACAUGCAAGUCGAACGAGUCGCGGACGUACGAGCAAUGUCUCUGAAUCUGCCUGAUGGAGGGGGUCCAGAACUGGAAACGGUUGCCAAUUCCGUAUACAUUCACAUGUGUCCAGAUGGGAUGAGCUUGGUGGUGGGGUAACGCCUCACCAAGGCGACGAUCCCUAGCUGGUCUGAGAGGAUUACCAGUCACACUGGAACUGAGACACGGUCCAGACUCCUACGGGAGGCAGCAGUGGGGAAUAUUGGACAAUGGGCGCAAGCCUGAUGCAGCCAUGCCGCGUGUGUGAAGAAGGCCUUCGGGUUGUAAAGUACUUUCAGCGGGGAGGCGUUACCAACAGAAGAAGCACCGGCUAACUCCGUGCCAGCAGCCGCGGUAAUAC
rnacentral:rRNA from 1 species